UAGGGGAGCCGGAGGGAAACCGAGUCUUAACCGGGCGUUAAGUUGCAGGGUAUAGACCCGAAACCCGGUGAUCUAGCCAUGGGCAGGUUGAAGGUUGGGUAACACUAACUGGAGGACCGAACCGACUAAUGUUGAAAAAUUAGCGGAUGACCUGUGGCUGGGGGUGAAAGGCCAAUCAAACCGGGAGAUAGCUGGUUCUCCCCGAAAGCUAUUUAGGUAGCGCCUCGUGAAUUCAUCUCCGGGGGUAGAGCACUGUUUCGGCUAGGGGGCCAUCCCGGCUUACCAACCCGAUGCAAACUGCGAAUACCGGAGAAUGUUAUCACGGGAGACACACGGCGGGUGCUAACGUCUGUCGUGAAGAGGGAAACAACCCAGACCGCCAGCUAAGGUCCCAAAGUCAUGGUUAAGUGGGAAACGAUGUGGGAAGGCCCAGACAGCCAGGAUGUUGGCUUAGAAGCAGCCAUCAUUUAAAGAAAGCGUAAUAGCUCACUGGUCGAGUCGGCCUGCGCGGAAGAUGUAACGGGGCUAAACCAUGCACCGAAGCUGCGGCAGCGAACGUAUCACCCAAGACAACUUUACGGAGUUAACGAUUGACGGAGCGAAGCGACGUCAAAGCGUUCAUUAAAGUCGAGUUGGCUUAGGGAUACGUUCGUUGGGUAGGGGAGCGUUCUGUAAGCCUGUGAAGGUGGCCUGUGAGGGUUGCUGGAGGUAUCAGAAGUGCGAAUGCUGACAUAAGUAACGAUAAAGCGGGUGAAAAGCCCGCUCGCCGGAAGACCAAGGGUUCCUGUCCAACGUUAAUCGGGGCAGGGUGAGUCGACCCCUAAGGCGAGGCCGAAAGGCGUAGUCGAUGGGAAACGGGUUAAUAUUCCCGUACUUGGUGUUACUGCGAAGGGGGGACGGAGAAGGCUAUGUUGGCCGGGCGACGGUUGUCCCGGUUUAAGCGUGUAGGCUGGUUUUCCAGGCAAAUCCGGAAAAUCAAGGCUGAGGCGUGAUGACGAGGCACUACGGUGCUGAAGCAACAAAUGCCCUGCUUCCAGGAAAAGCCUCUAAGCAUCAGGUAACAUCAAAUCGUACCCCAAACCGACACAGGUGGUCAGGUAGAGAAUACCAAGGCGCUUGAGAGAACUCGGGUGAAGGAACUAGGCAAAAUGGUGCCGUAACUUCGGGAGAAGGCACGCUGACA
rnacentral:rRNA from 1 species